UACGAACCGUACAAACGUUAUUCGGAAUCACUGGGCUUAAAGGGUGCGUAGGCGGCCAUGUAAGUGAGGUGUGAAAUCCCUCGGCUCAACCGAGGAACUGCGCUUCAUACUGCAUGGCUUGAGGGAGACAGGGGUAAGCGGAACUGAUGGUGGAGCGGUGAAAUGCGUUGAUAUCAUCAGGAACGACCGGUGGCGAAAGCGGCUUACUGGGUCUCUUCUGACGCUGAGGUACGAAAGCUAGGGUAGCGAACGGG
rnacentral:rRNA from 1 species